rnacentral:rRNA from 1 species
GUUGUUCGUGAAAUCUCACGGCUUAACUGUGAGCGUGCGGGCGAUACGGGCAGACUUGAGUACUGCAGGGGAGACUGGAAUUCCUGGUGUAGCGGUGGAAUGCGCAGAUAUCAGGAGGAACACCGGUGGCGAAGGCGGGUCUCUGGGCAGUAACUGACGCUGAGGAGCGAAAGCGUGGGGAGCGAACAGGAUUAGAUACCCUGGUAGUCCACGCCGUAAACGGUGGGUACUAGGUGUGGGUUUCCUUCCUUGGGAUCCGUGCCGUAGCUAACGCAUUAAGUACCCCGCCUGGGGAGUACGGCCGCAAGGCUAAAACUCAAAGAAAUUGACGGGGGCCCGCACAAGCGGCGGAGCAUGUGGAUUAAUUCGAUGCAACGCGAAGAACCUUACCUGGGUUUGACAUGCACAGGACGCCGGCAGAGAUGUCGGUUCCCUUGUGGCCUGUGUGCAGGUGGUGCAUGGCUGUCGUCAGCUCGUGUCGUGAGAUGUUGGGUUAAGUCCCGCAACGAGCGCAACCCUUGUCUCAUGUUGCCAGCGGGUAAUGCCGGGGACUCGUGAGAGACUGCCGGGGUCAACUCGGAGGAAGGUGGGGAUGACGUCAAGUCAUCAUGCCCCUUAUGUCCAGGGCUUCACACAUGCUACAAUGGCCGGUACAAAGGGCUGCGAUGCCGCGAGGUUAAGCGAAUCCUUUUAAAGCCGGUCUCAGUUCGGAUCGGGGUCUGCAACUCGACCCCGUGAAGUCGGAGUCGCU